rnacentral:lncRNA from 1 species
UUGCACGAUUCAAGUGUCAUUAUUAAAGAUUGACGAGUGACCUGAGGAAUUGCCACGUGGCAAUUUGUUAGACAAAGUUAGGAUCGAGGAAUCGUGAUUCAUAAAUGCGAGUAAUGGGGAUGUUUGAGAUGUUUCAAGUUCUUUUCAGAGAUACGUGAAAGGUUUGAUCUCGCUUCUUCAAGGUCAAAACUCGACCAAAGAGUUAUAGGCCGAAGGCCUUAGAAGCGAGGGGGAAAUGUUUAGGCCCAAAAUGAUAAUUUGGGUUGAGUUUGGAGCUAUUCUCGACCCAUCGAUCUUCCAAGGGUCUCAUGGGCCGGCUAGGUCACUAUAGGUUGUCCAGUUGGGCUCGACCAAGUCCUUUUAUGAGAAGGAUUGGUUUGGAUAAAGGCAAGGGUUGAGUCCUGAUACCAUAAGGGGAUUUAAAACUAAAGGCGUUAAGAAUCAAGGACUAAAUCUGGUUCAUUAUAGAGCCUAGUUCAGAAACCUAUUGGAACUAGGAUUGGCCGAAUCAUAAUUAGAUUGGGGUAAGGAGUUUUAGUUUGAGUACAUCUCUGAUUCGGCCAGGGGUAGGUUCAUUGCUAUAAAUAGAGGAAGAAGUG